rnacentral:rRNA from 1 species
UACGUAGGUGGCAAGCGUUAUCCGGAUUUAUUGGGCGUAAAGCGAGCGCAGGCGGUUGCUUAGGUCUGAUGUGAAAGCCUUCGGCUUAACCGAAGAAGUGCAUCGGAAACCGGGCGACUUGAGUGCUGGAGAGGCAAUCGGAAUUCCGUGUGUAGCGGUGAAAUGCGUAGAUAUACGGAGGAACACCAGUGGCGAAGGCGGCUUACUGGACCGUAACUGACGUUGAGGCUCGAAAGCGUGGGGAGCAAACAGG